rnacentral:lncRNA from 1 species
AGCUGGAAAAUCUUUAACAAAACCAAUAAAAACACGUCGAGAGAAAAGUCCUCAAGCUUUCCGUGUCUGCCGGUUCUUCCCUGUUGCCCACAAACAAGCCGCGUUCCCUCCCCGCUUGGCCCGUCCGCGCCCGCCGAGAGGACGGUCCACGGGAGGCCGCCACGUGCCCGCCUACAAGCUGGCGUCACUCUCCAAGCCUUCGAAGGCACCCGGGCUGCCCCGUGGGCCACCCUGACGGCGCUUGUCCGGCUUCCUCUCAGUUCUGCCCCGCUGGGACCCUCCUGGGUCGCCUUUCCUCCAUCCUCGUCCAGGCGACAGCAGACAUCCCGUGUUGGCCGCGCCGUGGGAGACGGAGGGGAGGGGGUGCCGGACGGGGCUCUGGGGUGGGGGGCGCCCUGGAGCUGUGCUGAACCCCGCUCGGCUUCUCUCGCGGGGUUCCUCCGGCCGGGGGUGCGGCCGCCUCUGGGGGAGCCCGAAGUCCGGGCAGGGCGGAGGCGGCUCGGGAAGGGGCCCCGCCGAGCCUGCCUGUGCUGGGCCUCCAACGCUGCCCCCUCCGCCAGGUCCAGCCGCGUACAUGCUGCCGAUGGUGAUGGGGCCGCACACGGUGGGCAAAGUGUCGCAGCCCUCCUUCUCCAUCAAGGGCCGGAGCAAGCUGGGCAGCUUCAGCAACGACCUUCACAAGACCCCGGGCCCUGCCGCCUACCGCCAGACGGACAUCCAGGUGGUCAAGUACAAGGCCCCGCAGUACACCAUGGCCGCCCGGAUCGAGGCCGUGGCCGACAAGACCUUGAAGCCGGGCCCGGGCGCGCAUAGCCCCGAGAAGGUACUGAUGACCAAGCCCAGCGCCCCCCUCCUCAGCUUUGGAAUCAGGCAUUCGGACUACAUGACCCCCCUGAUCCUGGAUCUGGAGUAGGCCCUGCCCCACGCCAGAGCCGGCCGCGCGGGCAGCCUCCGGCCGCCAUCAUGAUCGUGUGCACAACAGAUUUGCCUUGUAUCGGGAGAGAGCCUCUGCUGGCGAUCAGAGCCUCUUUCUUGCAAUCAGGUGACAGCUUGGGCCAGGCCGGGCACCCUGGGACAGGGCCUCGCAGGCUAAGGAGCUGUGAAUGCCAUUUAUUUUUUCUAGGAUGGAGUUUAUUAAUUUUGUUUCCAGCUGUGCCUGGAGGUUUAAUAAAUCACCCAUUGUACCGAGUCUGCUGAUCGGA